rnacentral:rRNA from 1 species
AUUUCCANUGGGGGAACCCUGAGGCAGCAACGCCGCGUGAGUGAUGAAGGCCUUCGGGUCGUAAAGCUCUGUCAAGUGGGAAGAACCUACAGCAUGGUAACACCAUGCUGUACUGACGGUACCACUGAAGGAAGCACCGGCUAACUCCGUGCCAGCAGCCGCGGUAAUACGGGGGGUGCAAGCGUUAUUCGGGAUUAUUGGGCGUAAAGGGCGCGUAGGCGGUUUCUUAAGUCAGAUGUGAAAGCCCGGAGCUUAACUCCGGAAGUGCAUUUGAAACUAAGAGGCUUGAGUAUGGGAGAGGGAAGUGGAAUUCCUGGUGUAGAGGUGAAAUUCGUAGAUAUCAGGAGGAACACCGGUGGCGAAAGCGACUUCCUGGACCAAUACUGACGCCGAGGCGCGAAGGCGUGGGGAGCAAACAGGAUUAGAUACCCUGGUAGUCCACGCAGUAAACGUUGAACACUAGGUGUAGUGGGUAUUGACCCCUGCUGUGCCGCAGUUAACGCAUUAAGUGUUCCGCCUGGGGAGUACGAUCGCAAGAUUAAAACUCAAAAAAAUUGACGGA